GAACUUUUUCCAGAUCAGGCCCUUAUCAUCAACACUGUUUCACAACUGCGCAAUCAUCCUGGAAAUCAGAACAUCAAGACCCUCACAAAGAAAGUUUGCUGAGGACUAUCCAAAUAGCAAUAAACUGGUUAAGGAUCAAGAGAAUUGAGGCAAGAACAGGUGAACUCAAUUUUUUUAAACAUUCCAGCUCUGUGAGCACCACACUGUCUUGUUUUUGAGAUAUCACAGAGAAAACUUUUUUUUUUUUUCCCUGUGCUAUACCAUUGCUUCUCAUGCUCUCUGUUAAACUUCUGCUUGCUACUCUGUGUUUCAAUUGAAUUCUUUCCCACAGAGUCACUAGAACCAGUACCAGAGAACCACCACAGUUGCCCAGGUUCUGGGGUGGACACUUGCCAGGUAACACUGGCAUGUGAUAUGUUUUCCUCAUGUAUGGACUGGUCAUCAUAAUAUUGGUAUUUGUAGGGUAAAAGGGUCCUAAAUACUAUGAUUAUAUAUCUCAAAUAUCUGACAUAAUUUAUUUCUACCAUCCAUCAUAAAUACCAAUUCUGGAUUGGUAGAGGCAACCAAAACUCUGAUAGGCAAGAGAUAAACUGUAGGGGGAGCAUGAAGAGAGGGGAAAGAAGAAUCAAAAGAAAAAUAACAAAGAAAACAAAAACUUCAAAUGAAUGUGUCAACCAAUAUUCUAACCAGAAAAAGAAAUCUAAUGCUAAGAUAACCAACAAACUAAAUAAUAAGAACAUGGACUUUAAAAAGGCUACUAAUACUUAAAAAGCAAAUAAAGAUACUUUUUAAAAUGUAAAGGAUCAUCAAGAGAAACUUUUUUUUUUUUUUUUGGUAGUGUGGAUUGAACCCACUGAGCCACAUCCCCAGCUAUUUUUAUUUUUGAUUUUGAAACAGAAUCUCACUAAAUUGCCUAGGUCUCACUAAGUUGCUCAGGUUAACCUGGAACUUGUGAUCUUCUGACUCAGUCUCCAGAGUCUCUAGGAUUACUGAUGUGUGCCUCCAUGCCUGGCACCACAGAGAAAACUUGGAGAGAGAUAUCGUCAAAGUGGUAAAGUACAAAUGGUUGGACUUUGCUUUUUUUUUUUUUUUCAUAGAAAACCAAUCACAAAGCCUAGAGCAGAGAUGUCCAUCUUUAAUUCCAGUGACUUGGGAGGCUGAGGCAGGAGGAUCUCAAGGUUCAAGCCAGUCUCAGCAAUUUAGUGAGGCCGUCAGCAACUUAGCAAGAACCUGUCUCAAAAGGUAAAAAGGACUGGGGAUGUAGCUCAUUGGUAAAAUACCUCUGGAUUCAACCCCCAGUUCAAAAACAGGAAACAAACAAACAAACAAAUCCAAUUACAACUUUGAACUUUGCAGUGGUAAAAUUACCAGCCAGAAUAUCCCAGAACUAAAGACUGAGGAUAUGAUGAUCCCUUGGACCAGAAGGAAGUGAAAAAUCAUGAGCAGCUGGUAAGAAAAACUGAUCUCUAACCAUGACCCCUGCUCCCCAAAGCUUACAGGUGGUAUGUAGAAAAAAAACCCAUUGAAUUUGCAGUUUUGAAACUGGAAAAAGUAAGACUGAGGUGGGCACCAGUUUCCUCACCAUCCUGGAUUUUAUCACAGGAAAAACAUUCUGCCUCAGCCCAAAGGGAGCAUCUCCAGUGCUUGAAGGACUAAAAAUUCUGAAGGCAGCUAAAAACAAAGAAUGAGGUGGGGCUAGUGAUGCUUGGUGCUAGUGAUGUUCAGUGUGCAGAGUGCUGACUGCUUCCUGUUUUGCCAGACAAGAAGCCUAAUCAGAGAGGCUGUACAGAGAUGUCAUGCUGCAGGAGACAUGUUCCACAGGUCCUUUGGGCAGGAGUCCCUAACUGGCCUUUACAUACUCUUAGGUUACUCCCUUGGGGUUCCUUAUUAUUUUUGAGAUGAUAAAUUUUGUUACCACAAUUAUAAUCUUAAUCUUAUUAGCAAUAACCUUAUCUGCUUUAUGGAAGAGAAGAGUAGACAAGAUUAGACUGAGACAUUCUGACACUUACAUAACAGAAAUUUCAGAAGAUAAUUGAAGGAAUGAAGAAGGAAUAUUUAGAAAGAAAAUUAUUGCAAUUAUCCUGAAUUAUAGAAAAACAAGUGUAACAGUUCAACUGAUAGUGGAUCUUUUAUCUAUAGCAAGUUUCCAGAAGAUGGGAGACUAUUAUUUUCAAAAGGUUAGGAGAAUUAGCCGUCCUUUAAAAAUUUUAUAUUCAGUUCAAUUUUUGUGUAAGAUAAAAGUACAUUUAAAGAUAAACAUAUGUAAAAAAUGUUCAACAUCUCUAGAAAAUAUAGAAAUGCAAAUCAAAACUACUCUAAGAUUUCAUCUCAUGCCAGUCAAAAUGGCAGUUAUUAAGAAUACAGACAACAAUAAAUGUCUGUGAGUAUGUAGGGGAAAUGGCACACUCAUACAUUGCUGGUGUGACUCCAAAUUGGAGCAACCAAUCUGGAAAGCAGUAUGGAGAUUCUUUAGAAAACUUGGAAUGGAACCACCAUUUGACCCACCUAUUCCACUCCUCAGUCUUUACCCAAAGGACUUUAAAUCAGCAUACUAUAGUAACACAGCCACAUCAAUGUUCAUAGCAUCUCAAUUCACAAUAGCUAAACUGUGGAAGCAACCUAGAUGCCUUUCAAUAGAUGAAUGGAUAAAGAAACUGUGGUAUAUAUAUAUACAAUGAAAUAUUACUCAGCAAUAAAAGAAUAAAAUAAUGGCAUUUUCAGGUAAAUGGAUGGAGUUGGAGAAUAUCAUUCUAAGUGAAAUAAUUCAAUCCCCAAAACCCAAAUGCAGAAUGUUCUCUCUGAUAAGUGGAUGCUGAUCCAUAACAGGGAGUGGGGAGGCAUGGGAAAAAUGGAGGAACUUUGACUGGACAAAGGGGAGAGAGGGUAGGGGAGGGUGCAUGGGGAAAGGAAAGAUGGUGGAAUGAGAUGAACAUCAUUACCCUAGGGACAUGUAUGACUUGCACAUAUGGUGUGAUGCUACAUCGUGUACAAUUAUAGACAUGUAAAGUUGUGUUGUAAUUGUGUACAAUGAAUCAAAAUGCAUUCUGCUGUCAUAUAUACCUAAUUAAAAUAAAUGAAUUAAUGUAAAACUAAAA
rnacentral:lncRNA from 1 species